AUACUCACAUCAGAGCAGCAUUUUCUUGUUCAAGGAGUUGUUGCUUCUUCUCAAUGGAUUGUAUGUCAUCUACUACAGUUUUCAGCUCAGACUGAAGUCGAUUCAUCUCUGCAGCAUUGUCUUCUCUAGCCGCAGUGACACAAGCUUAAAAAAUAACAAAAACUUUAAGAAGUUACCGGAGCAGUUUCCCAACCACCAUUGUGCUGCAGAACGGCAGAAGCUUGAAUGGAAAAGCCCCUUGCUGGCGAGAGAUGCUCCGAAAUUGUAAUUGGUGCUGGAGGGGGUGUUGAAAGUCUCUGCGAGCUUGCUGCCAGUGGAACCCAAGCACCAGAGAAAUGCUGGAACAACAACACGGACAACCAAACGUCCUUUGGGAAGCAGAUCUUAAUGAAGCCUGGAAGCAAAUCGCAUUUGGAUUGGGUUUUGUUCAGGCUGAGAAAUCAAAUUAGUGCUCAAUGGCUGGCUGAGGAGUUCUGAGAUCAGUGACCUGAUAUGCCACUGCUGCUGGUUUCCUCCAUUCUGAGGGCUUCGGAGUUAUACAACACGGCCAAACAAGGCAAAAGCACGUGGAGGUUUUAAUAUCAUUGCAUGCGUUUGAACUGCAUUUGCACAACUUUUGUACAUUGUUCCAAAAAAAAUUAAAAAAAUAAAAA